AUGUGGCUGUUAAUGAGGCCGCGACUUAUGGAACGAGUGACGUAAGUCGCAUGGCCGAAUUAAAGUUAGCAGCCCUCGCCGGAAACGACGAGGUGAAGAAGCGAGUAAAUUCAGGGAAAGCCCUUGAAGGGUCAAUCCUGAGCCAAGUCCGCCGAAGCAUUGAGUCGUUUGCUUAUUGAAUGCGAAGGCGGGAAGGUGCAGAGACUAGACACUCGCUGCCUAAAGCCUGAAACGGCCAUGGUAAUGGUAUAGUCCGACUCUCCGAGUAAUCGGAGU
rnacentral:ncRNA from 1 species